GGAAAUGCAAGAUGUCACUUUUUUAUACAUAAAAGUAACUAGAUAUUCUGCACAUUGCAGCACUUUGUGGACCACUUUCCAGGACAUAUUUUCUCUCCCAGCUGUCAAAAUAUUUAAUGCUUUGAAUUAGCAUUUCAGUUAAGUGCUGUAUUUUGUUUCUGCAGUUUUGAGAAGUCAUACCUUGGUCACAUAAUAGCAGAUUUCUGUGAACUUCUGGGAUAAACCGUGGCUUUAUUCAGGGUACUCAAAGCCUAAAGUGCUGUGAUUUUCAAAAGUGCACUGAGGAGCUCAGGCUGUAAGUUCACCUUCCUGUGUUGGACAUGUGGACGGAAUUAUCACUUUCAAGCUCUAGCUGUGCCUUUUGGGAAGAGAAUGUGAACAGAUGAAAGGAAGGAAAAAUUCCUUUCCAGCUGGAAAGAAAGAGUGGGUGCAGACAUGGGGAUCAGCAGAGCUCAAAAUGAGAGCACUUAUGGGAAAGGGAAGAGCCUUCAUCAAGCUGCGGGUCACCUCUAGCUUGUGCAUUGUGGAAUAAAACUGUCCUGAGGCAAAGGAAGCAGGAGAAGAAAGCAAUGAUGCCCAGAUCAUAGCUAUCUGGGUACUUCAGGUAGCCAGCAGAAAGGAGUUCCAGCAUCAGUGCUCAAGACCAGUGAAUGGAAAGUAGCAGAAGUUGGAAAGAAAGCUACAGGGGGAUCGAUUUGCAGCCAGUGCUAGUUGGAAUAGCAAAAAGGAGAGAAAUCCCUGGAAGCAGCAGGAGAGUUGAGCCUGGCAGGACAGGAGGAGAAAGGACUUGAUAAGAAGAUGCAGCUUUUUCCUUUGCUUUCCUGAUGAGUUGAACUCAAAGCAGCAGCACACUUCUACUGCAGAAGGAAGCUGUCUGACUUUUUGUCUAGAGCCUGGCACCGUGACUGCUCUGUUGGCCCCAUAGUAGCUAGAGGAACCCAGAGGUCUCCUGGGCGGCAGCAGGACCAGCCACAAUGGGCACCAUCUCAUCACGUUCAACAAUCUCAUCCAUUCCUUAGCGACCAUGCAAAUACCACAGUAACCCUAGGUGGUGUCAGCUGCUCCAUUUGACACACCUCAGAGGGCUAACAACUUACUGUUCAGGAAGGUAACAACAUGCCCAGGUUGCAUGAAGAUCAAAUAAUUGUCAAUUCACUGACAGAACAUAAUUACUAGAGAAUUCUUUACUUAUAUUAGUGUGAGUUACAUCAGCCACAAGAUGCUUCUCUGUAUUUUCAAGAUGACAAAAAAGCCACCAAAGCACAUUGCAUUCACUCUUUGUAUAUAAUCUUGAUAAACCCACAUUGCAGAUAAAAUUUUGAAACCUAUUCUUAUUAUAGAAUCAUAGAAUCAUAGAAUCACAAGGUUGGAAAGAACCUAUAAGAUCAUCUAGUCCAACCGUCCUCCCUAUUACCCCUGCUAUCCCAAGCCACUAAACCAUACCUCAUAGCUCCUCAUCCAGAUGCCUCUUCAACACUACCAGGGAUGGCGACUCCACUACCUCCCUGGGCAGGCCAUUCCAGUGCCUGACCACUCUCUGAGAGAAAAAGUUUUUCCUUAUGUCUAACCUCAACCUCCUCUGGUACAACUUGUGGCCAUUUCCUCAGGUCCUGUUUGUUGCCUGGGAGAAGAGGUCAAACCCCUCCUCAUCACAACUCCCUUCAGGAAGUGGUAGAGUGCAAUGAGGUCUCCCCUGAGCCUCCUCUCCUCCAGACUGAACAAUGCCAGCUCCCUCAGCCGCUCCUCAUAAGACCUGUGCUCCAGACCCCUCACCAGUUUUGUUGCCCUUCUCUGGACAUAUUCCAGGGCCUCAAUGUCUUUCUUGUAGUGAGGGGCCCAAAACUGAACACAACACUCAAGGUGCAGCCUCACCAGUGCUGACUACAGGGGGAUGAUUACCUCCUUGCUUCUGCUGACCACACUAUUUCUAAUGCAGGCCACGAUGCCAUUGGCCCUCUUGGCCACCUGGGCACACUGCUGGCUCAUGUUCAGCUGAGCAUCAACCAACACCUCCAGGUCCCUUUCCUCUUCACAGUCCUCCAGCCACUCAGCCCCAAGGCUGUAGCGCUGCAUGGGGUUAUUGUGGCUAAAGUGCAGGACCCGGCACUUAUCUUUGUUGAACCUCAUCCCAUUCACCACAGCCCAGUGAUCCAGCUUAUCCAGAUCCCUCUGAUGGCCCUCCCUACCCUCAGGCCGAUCGACACCACCUCCCAGCUUGGUGUCAUCUGCAAACUUACUGAGGGUACACUCAAUCCCUUCAUGUAGGUCAUCAGGUCAUAUUAAACAAGAUGGUCCCCAGUACUGACCCAUGGGGGACAUCACUUGUAAAGGGUCGCCUUCUGGACGUAACUCCAUUAACCACUACCCGUUGGGCACAGCCCUCUAGCCAGUAUGUAUAUAUAUACUUCAAUAUAUAAGUAUGUAUGUCUAUACUUCAAUAUAUAACUUUAUCAUAAACUAGUAAGUAUUAAAGUAUAAUUUUUAAAUAAAAAUUGCAUUUAAAAUAGAUACAUUUUUUCUAUUAAAUGUGUCCAAUUAAUACAAUCAAAAAUAUAUAUUUCUACUAUGGAAACCUAUAAAAGCUGUGGACUAAAGACAAAUCUAUCUGCUUCUGCUGCAAAAUCCGAUAACAAACACAAGCGCCUAGACACUGUAGUAUGAUAUUAACUCCCUAGAUAUUUUAAAAACUAGCUAGCAUACAAUGCAAGAAAUAUUAGGUUGUUUAUAAUAUCUAGUUAUCUAUAGGUCUUUAGAAUGACAUUUCAUCAAAGAAAAUUUGUACUUUUUGUCUUUUUCUCAGAAAAAAAUCUCAGAUCAUUGGGUUUUAUUUCUGCCAUUAAGGAAUGUAGUUCCUCAUGAAAACAGGAGUUGUAGUAUUGGGGUAAAAUAAGGACUAACAUUUCACUAAAGACAGAAAGAAAGCCUAGCCAUUCCCUUCCCUCAUGUCCCACUUUGCCAGCCCUUUCCAUCAUUUCUCCUUUUAUAGUUGUGUCUGAUUUUUUAGCUUCUAUCCUAAAAACAAGUGUGUUCUUUUUUUUUUUUUUCCUCAGAAUCUAACCAAAUGGAUAAAGCGAAUUCCCAUGAGAAAGCAGUCCCAAUUCAUUAAUGUAUUCCUAUGGCUAUGGAUUCCCUUGAGUUUCUGAAAAAAGCAGAAGAUGAUAAACCUAACAUUUCUAGGGAAACUUAGUAAGAACAGAAACAUGCAGUUAGAAAACAGUCUCCCAAAGAUAUGUCACAAUUUUGAGAAGUGUGUCAAGACCUGAUUUUGCCUUAUAUAGAAGUGAUAAGAUGUCUUAAAAGCAGAAAAAUAUGUAUAAGUUGUAGAAGAAUGACUUUCCAAGACACUGAAUGAUGAAUUAUGUGCAUUCAUAGUGCCAGUAAGUUGGUACUAUUCCCAAUUAAACCAGCUACCUCUGAAGAAUCUAUCCCAUUUUUACAAGAGGGACUGAAGCAGGAGAAUCCAUUACAGACACUGCUAUGUUGCUCAAAACAGGACAGAAUUAAAUCAUACAAGCACUAAAAUCAGCUUUCUAGUAUGUAUAUUUUACAACACAGUAUGAUUUGUCCCCCUGGCUUCUGAAAAAGAGAGUGAAAUAUCUUGGAAAUACUGCUAGUAUUUUCAAGAAAAAUAAUUUUUCUUGGGCAUAGCAAAUAGCUUUUGAAUAUUAAAAGCAGACCAAAGCAAUUAGCAAAAGUUGGUUUUCCUCAUGUAUUGGGCAUGAAUGUUCCUUUGGGUACAUUAGUACAUGGGCCUUGCAGAGCUCAGUGUUAUAUCACAAAACAAUGCCUGCAAUGGAUAUAAAAAAGAACAUAAAAUACGGAUUAGGGUCGCCUUGCAAGGAAAUAACUAUGAAGAGGUGGGAUGUGAAUCGAAACCAGUAUUUCCUUGUCUAAAGGUCAGCUGUGUUAAAAAUGGUGAGAAAUUUAGAGACGACUAAGUUCAAAGUUAUAGCCCUCAAGACAAUGCAUAGUCCAUCAGGGCAGUAAACCUCCAAAGGCCCUAAGACAGCUUUUUCCAGGAGUUUAGUUGCCAGAGUUUCUUUCCUCGAGGUAAGCUCUCAGCAAGCAUUCAGAUUCAAACACUUCUGAGCUUCCUGAGAAAAGAUAAACCACAGGUCUAGAAACAGAAAUAACAAGUGUCAGUUCAAGAGUAGAAGAAUAUCUUAAGCUUUCUAUCUUUGCUUAGCACAGUCAGAGAAAGUAUCACCUUUCUGCAUAAAAGGUCAUAACAACCACUGUGUUAGUGCCCUGCUAUAUUGAAACUACAUCUGACAGCACGCACAUGCCAACAGAAACAGGAAUGAUAUAGUGAGGAAUAACUACAGUUAUGAAAGGGCACUAUUUGUCACUGCUUGAGUCAUUUGGCUCUGUCAGUGAUGUACAAGUGAAGAAAAGAUUGCUGCUGAGUCUUGUUGUCAGUGCCUAUAACCUCUAAAGCCAGUGACAGAAUAAAAAGUGGGACCAUUUUAGGAAAUUGCAUUAUAGUCUAGUCUUUGCUCUGGGGACUUCCUUCAGAGCAUAGGUGCAUUAGAAACAGGAAACUGUUACUUUACCUGCAAAGAAUUCUCUUGAAGGAAGGACUUGAUCCCGGAGACCAUGCAGCAUACUGUAGACACUCAUGCUGUUUGAAGAAGACUUGUCUAUGUACAGAUACCUUAUCUUCCAGACACAGAAGUAACUGAUGUCCAAAGCAAGACUGACAGAUCAAGAUUUUCUCAUUCAUACAACAUACAGGAACCUAAACUGCAUCUAGACACAGACAUAACAAGAUCACACUGCAAGUGUCCGCAAUCUUGCACUCCUAUCUGCUAAUACAGGUUCUGCCUUUGCUAGGCAGGUUCCCCAGACUUGUUGCUGAAUUGUAAAGAACAAGCAUCCUUCUGAAAAGAAGGCUGUGGCAGGUUAGAAACAAGUCUAAUGUUAACGUGGUUCAUACUUGACAAAAAAAUGCAUGUGGUAGACUAAGGGCAUAUAAUCUCUUUAUCAUUAUUAUUCAAUAAAGG
ensembl:lncRNA